rnacentral:rRNA from 1 species
UACGAAGGGGGCUAGCGUUGCUCGGAAUCACUGGGCGUAAAGCGCACGUAGGCGGCUCUUUAAGUCAGGGGUGAAAUCCUGGAGCUCAACUCAGAACUGCCUUUGAUACUGAGGGGCUUGAGUCCGGGAGAGGUGAGUGGAACUGCGAGUGUAGAGGUGAAAUUCGUAGAUAUUCGCAAGAACACCAGUGGCGAAGGCGGCUCACUGGCCCGGUACUGACGCUGAGGUGCGAAAGCGUGGGGAGCAAACAGG